rnacentral:snRNA from 1 species
GUGCUCACUUUGGCAGCACAUAUACUAAAAUUGGAACGAUACAGAGAAGAUUAGCAUGGCCCCUGCAAAUUUAUUUUUUUAAUUUAUAAAAAGAUAAAAUUUCU